UCUCUCUUCAUCAGCAUUUCUCUCUGUAACUCUCGCCACUGAUGGUGUGAAGAUGAUGAAAAGACCCGAUUUCAUUGUCUUGAUGGUUCAUUUCUCAUUCGCACCUCCAGAUGUGGCGUUGUUCUUCAUUUUCAAGCAUCAACACCUUUAGUUCGUCGGGUCCUCCUGAUGGAUUUUCGACCUGCAAAAGUCAACGAAAAGGAGAGCAUAUCAAGGUGUGGUUAACGGUAACCAGGUAGCCGAUACUUGAUUCAUUCCAGCUUUUUUCAGUCCAGUUCAGUGGAGGUGAGCCACCAUUAGAUCAUGGCGGCCUCUUCUUCUUUAGUUGACUUAGUAGUAUUCCGAGCUACGUCUCGUACUUUUAUAUUCAGACUAGUAGUUCCAUGACUUAGACAUCUUCUGGGGUUAUGGGCAAGACUCAGUAUUUGUAUUUCGCUUUCGCACUUUUCGUUAUAUUAUGAGAC